UUUCCUGCCCAGGCUGGCUUCAAACCGUGAUCCUCAGAUCUCAGCCUCUUAUUGAGUAGCUAGGAUUAUAGGUGGUAAACCACCGGCACCCCGGCU